rnacentral:rRNA from 1 species
UACGGGGGGGAGCAAGCGUUGUUCGGAUUUACUGGGCGUAAAGGGCGCGUAGGCGGCCACCGCAAGUCGAUUGUGAAAUCUCCGGGCUUAACCCGGAAAGGUCAACCGAUACUGCGGGGCUAGAGUGCAGAAGGGGCAACUGGAAUUCUCGGGUGUAGCGGUGAAAUGCGUAGAUAUCGAGAGGAACACCUGCGGCGAAGGCGGGUUGCUGGGCUGACACUGACGCUGAUGUGCGAAAGCUAGGGGAGCGAACGGGG